GACGAACGCUGGCGGCGUGCUUAACACAUGCAAGUCGAACGGUAAGGCCCUGCUUUUGUGGGGUGCUCGAGUGGCGAACGGGUGAGUAACACGUGAGUAACCUGCCCUUGACUUUGGGAUAACUUCAGGAAACUGGGGCUAAUACCGGAUAGGAGCUCCUGCUGCAUGGUGGGGGUUGGAAAGUUUCGGCGGUUGGGGAUGGACUCGCGGCUUAUCAGCUUGUUGGUGGGGUAGUGGCUUACCAAGGCUUUGACGGGUAGCCGGCCUGAGAGGGUGACCGGCCACAUUGGGACUGAGAUACGGCCCAGACUCCUACGGGAGGCAGCAGUGGGGAAUAUUGCACAAUGGGCGGAAGCCUGAUGCAGCAACGCCGCGUGCGGGAUGACGGCCUUCGGGUUGUAAACCGCUUUCGCCUGUGACGAAGCGUGAGUGACGGUAAUGGGUAAAGAAGCACCGGCUAACUACGU
rnacentral:rRNA from 1 species